GUUUUCUCAUUCUCUGCCCCAAUGAAGGAAAAGCCAUAAGGGGCUCUGAGCAUCAGGACAGUCGUGUGCAGGUGGGACCGGCCCUUCUCACUUCUGUGUUCCUCAGGGGGAAACAUCACUGCCUCUCUUCUGAAACCCUGCUGCCAGCUGCAAAAAAGGAAUGGUGUUUUGACCAGAUCUGUAAUUAAUCACAACUGGUGCUUAGAUGAGAUGGAGAACAUCCUCAUCUUGGAAAAAAACUUCUUGUGCUGCUUUUAAACAAAGUACAAAUCAAAUUUGAAUCCAGGACAAUUACAUCACUCUCGUGAACUUAUGGAAAGUGAGAACAACAGAGUGGUAGGUCCUCAAGGUGUGGAUUUCUCCAAAGCUGAGCUAAAAGUGACAUGAUUUCCACAAAUUUCUCCUGGGAUCUUCACGCCAUGUCAGAAGUGUCUGCUUCACAGUCUGGAAUUGUUGGGAGGUUGUUGCACAUGGAGGUGUCACUUGAGGAUAAUGCUUCUGAUAAAUAUUACUGCAUCACUGUGGAGGGGCAGAGCUGCAUUUUAAGGUAUGUAAGAUGAAGUAAGAA
rnacentral:lncRNA from 1 species